rnacentral:rRNA from 1 species
AGCCGCGCUAAUUCCAGCUCCAUUGGCGUAUAUUAAAGUUGUUGCGGUUAAAAAGCUCGUAGUUGGAUCUGUGUCUCGGACGGCCGGUGCGCGCUCGCGACAACUGACCGGUCCGAACGUCCUGCCGGUGCUUUGCUGCGGGCCCAUGCUGCGCUUCGUAGGCUGGUUAACCCGUGCGGCCUCAAUUCCCUCCGCGUUGUUCUUAACCGAGCGGCGCGCGGGCGGCGAGUUUACUUUGAACAAAUUUGAGUGCUCAAAGCAGGCGACAAGUCCUGAGAAAACUGUGUGCAUGGAAUAAUGGAAUAAGACUUCGGUUCUAUUUUGUUGGCUUUUCUGAACCCGAAGUAAUGAUUAAUAGGGACAGACGGGGGCAUUCGUAUUGCGACGUUAGAGGUGAAAUUCUUGGAUCGUCGCAAGACGAACGGAUGUGAAAGCGUUUGCCAAGAAUGUUUUCGCUAAUCAAGAACGAAAGUUAGAGGUUCGAAGGCGAUCAGAUACCGCCCUAGUUCUAACCAUAAACGAUGCCAGCUAGCGAUGCGCCCGAGUUCCUCCGAUGACUGGGGCGCGCAGCUCCCGGGAAACCAAAGCUUUUGGGUUCCGGGGGAA